rnacentral:rRNA from 1 species
GGAUGACGUCAAAUCAGCACGGCCCUUACGUCCGGGGCUACACACGUGUUACAAUGGGGGGUACAGAAGGCAGCUAGCGGGUGACCGUAUGCUAAUCCCAAAAUCCUCUCUCAGUUCGGAUCGAAGUCUGCAACCCGACUUCGUGAAGCUGGAUUCGCUAGUAAUCGCGCAUCAGCCACGGCGCGGUGAAUACGUUCCCGGGCCUUG